GAAGAUGCCAGCGUGGAGUGCUCAGGAACAGAAAUACCUGAGCCAGGCCCAAUCCGGCUGGUAGGAGGCCCAAAUCGAUGUGCUGGGAGGGUUGAGGUGCUUCAUGAAGAACAGUGGGGCAGCAUCUGCCAUGAUGACUGGGAUCUAAAUGAUGCCCAAGUCGUGUGCAAGCAACUGGGCUGUGGGGAUGCGGUGCUGGCCCCCAUUGGAGCCAAGUUUGGACGAGGAUUUGACACCAUCUGGCUGGAUGAUGUGAACUGCACAGGGACGGAAGCUGCUCUCUCUGAAUGCCCGGCGAGGCCAUGGGGGGAACACAAUUGUUACCACGGGGAAGACGCCAGUGCAAUUUGUUCAGAGUCGGGGAUCACCGUCUCCACUUCAGUCCGCCUGGUGGGUGGCCCCAACCGCUGCUCCGGGAGAGUCGAGGUGCUUCACAACGGUGU